GACGAACGCUGGCGGCGUGCUUAACACAUGCAAGUCGAGCGGUAAGGCCCUUUCGGGGGUACACGAGCGGCGAACGGGUGAGUAACACGUGGGUGACCUGCCCUUAGCUCUGGGAUAAGCCUGGGAAACUGGGUCUAAUACCGGAUAUGACUCCAUGACGCAUGUUGUGGGGUGGAAAGCCUUGUGCGGCUAGGGAUGGGCCCGCGGCCUAUCAGCUUGUUGGUGGGGUGAUGGCCACCAAGGCGACGACGGGUAGCCGGCCUGAGAGGGCGACCGGCCACACUGGGACUGAGACACGGCCCAGACUCCUACGGGAGGCAGCAGUGGGGAAUCUUGCGCAAUGGGCGAAAGCCUGACGCAGCGACGCCG
rnacentral:rRNA from 1 species